rnacentral:rRNA from 1 species
GAGUUUGAUCUUGGCUCAGGAUGAACGCUGGCGGCGUGCCUAACACAUGCAAGUCGAACGGGAACCCUUGGAUUCGUCUGGGGGGAGAGUGGCAAACGGGUGAGUAACACGUUGGUGACCUGCCCCAAAGAGGGGAAUAACCACUGGAAACGGUGGCUAAUACCCCAUGUGGUCUGUCGGUCGGACGGCAGAUUAAAGCGCCCCAUUAGGGGCUGCGCUUUGGGAGGGGCCUGCGGCCCAUCAGGUAGUUGGUAGGGUAAUGGCCUACCAAGCCGAUGACGGGUAGGGGCGUGAGAGCGUGAUCCCCCACACUGGCACUGAGACACGGGCCAGACUCCUACGGGAGGCAGCAGUGAGGAAUAUUGCCCAAUGGACGCAAGUCUGAGGCAGCAACGCUGCGUGGGUGAUGAAGGCCUUCGGUUGUAAAACCCUUUUCUGGGGACGAGAAAGGACGGUACCGUCAGGAAUAAGUCACGGCUAACUACGUGCCAGCAGCCGCAGUAAG